ACCUAUCCGUAAUAUUUCAAACUAGAAAUAUCUCAGCACAAAAUUUAAACAUAAGAACUGCCUCUGCUUUACAAAAAAUAAAAUUUAUUAUGCACUGGAGGUUACAAUGUAAUGACUUUAUUCACAAAGAACUAUCUAAUAGACUUUAUUGUUAUUAUGCACUGGAGGUGACAAUGUAAUGACUUUAUUCACAAAGAACUAUCUGAUAGACUUUAUUGUUAUUUGUUUGCCAUUACUCGACUAAUUCCCAAUAAAAUGCUCCGCAGGGCUCAGCUUGAUACGACCGCAGAGGUCGAACCCUGAACAGUUGGGGCAAGUAUGGACACAACAUUCAAGCUUGAUACAGCUCUGAAUUUGGAUUGUGAUUAAAUAUUUGACACAGCAUAGGUUUUUGACACAGAAUGAAUGUGGUCUAAGAACUUAAAAAUUUUAAAUUGGACAUUCACCUAUUAUGGUCCAACAUCCAAAAUCUAAAUACAUGGUUAGAUUCAGCAUAUCAAAGAACCCCAAGAAUUCAUUUUUUGAUGAAAUCAAACAAAGUUUAAUUUUGGACCCUUUUGACCUCAAUGUGGACAAAGUUGAUAACGGGGCCCAAAAAAUCAAAAAUCUAAAUACAUGGUUAGAUUCAGCAUAUCAAAGAACCCCAUAUAAUCAAUUUUUGUUGAAAUCAAACAAAGUUUAAUUUUGGACCCCCAUUUGGACCAACUUGAAAACUGGGCCCAUAAUCAAAAAUCUAAAUACAUGUUUAGAUUCAGCAUAUCAAAGAACCCUAAGAAUUCAAUUUUUGUUAAAAUCAAACUUAGUUUAAUUUUGGACCCUUUGGACCUUAAUGUAGACCAAUUUGAAAACGGAACCAAAAAUUAAGAAUCUAAAUACACGGGUAGAUUCGGCAUAUCAAAGAACCCCAAUAAUUCAAUUUUUGAUGAAAUCAAACAAAGUUUAAUUUUGGACCCUUUGGACCUCAAUGUGGACCAAUUUAAAAACGGGGCCAAAAAUCCAAAAACUUAAUACACGGUUAGAUUCAGCAUAUUAAAGAACCCCAAGAAUUCAAGAAUAAAACCCCAUUGAAAUUGGUCAAGAAAUAAGCAAUUUAUACGAAGUAUCUUCUUUUGCACAAUACUGUGCAAUUGAAUAUUUCUUGCUAUUGCGCAAUACUGCACAAUUGACAAUUUCUUGCUAUUGCGCAAUAUUGUGCUAUUGGAUAUUUCUUGCUAUUGCGCAAUACUGUGCAAUUGAAGAUUUCUUGCUAUAGCGCAAUACUGUGCAAUUGAAGAUUUCUUGCUAUUGUGCAAUACUGUGCAAUUGAAAAUUUCUUGCUAUUGCACAAUACUUAUUAUAUAAUAAUUUACACAUCCUGUUUGGUGUGUAUCUCCUAUCAUAUCAUUAUUAUUUGCUUUUAAAUAUAAAUCAGAAAUAACCAACUUAAAAUGGAAAAUAUUAAAAGAAAAAAAAAAGGAAAAAAAAAAAAAAAA